rnacentral:lncRNA from 1 species
CUGCCCCGGUGACAGUCCAGACCUUGAGUAGCAAUCUGGAACACUCCUGACUGGCUCUUCAUCCCUCCCUGAUCUGAGUUGGCAGUCAGUCCACCAGCAGCUGUGGAGGAGGGCUAUGCACUGGGAAACUGACAGCAAGGGCACUGAAUCUUCUGCUCCAGACCCUCCUUCUCCGAGAACCUUCCAAGAAGGCAGGUGCCAAACGCUGUGAGUGCUCAUGCAGGGUCCUCCGGGGAGGAGGGAGAUGAAUGUCUCUGUGAGAUGCUCAGGAAAUUGUCCCCACCCACCAACCUGGCUGAGCCGUUGGCUGUGGGGCACCUCCAUGCUGUGCUGCACACUCCGCUCAUCUUCAUGAGAUCACCUUCCUGCAGGCGCUAACCCUCUGAUUCUUUUGAAAAGGAGAAAUCAGGUCUUGGGAAAGCCGGUGAUUUUCCUACAAGCAGCUGCAGGUAGUAUUCACACUCAGGUCUUUUGGCUUCCAGGCCAAAAGAGGUCUCUCUAGAAUACACCAGUACUCACUGAGCACAUACUAUGUGCAGAGACUGCUCUGGGUACAGGGGACAUAGCCAUGGACAGAACAGACUUCUCCAAAGGCCCUUAAGGCCAGGGCACUGGGGCUGCUUACUCCAUCUGCAGAGUUUGUGGUUAGACUGACCAGGCGCUCAGGUCUGGACGGGAAGCCCCGCACUGCAAUAAGGAACUGUGGCUGCUCUUUCUUCUCACAUCCAGGUCUGGGACUAGCUUCUCAGCCCCAGAGACAAAAGGGUACUUCCCAAACCCACCCCACUCAGUGACACUGGGCCAUCUCUGAGAACACAGCAAGUCCCUGUGGCCCCAGCCCACUGCCAUAGCGCUGUCUGCCAGAAUCCACACCUGCCUCCUCUUCACCCACCUACUGACUCCUGGAGAGAGAAAGACAAGUCCUUGGCCUUUAUGACACUAACUGCAAUAAGUCAGACACAGCUGCAGCAAACUCAGUGUCAUCAGAGGAGACACAAAAUGUAGGGAGUGUGUCUAUGAGGAAGUUUUCAUAUUUGCUGCUCACACUACAAGCUUCUCACUGCUGUUCACACCACAAGCUUCCUCUUCAUUUUGUUUAAGAAAGGUGGAUCCUAUCCCAGUUACUCCAAAACUCUGCAGUGCCAUACUGUGAAAUCCUAAUCCGACUGUACCAAAGGCCAGAGAGACCUCGGCUUGGCCCCAGCUGCCUUGCUUACUAUCCUCCUCACAGGAUCAUUUUGAGGUUGAAAUUGAAGCAUUAAGCUCACAUAGGCACCAUGUGCAUUUUAAAGCUUUUCCACUCUCUGUCCUCUCCACCAGCAUUGUUUGUGCUCCUGUUCACACUUAACACAUCUGGUCCUCGUCAUCUGUGGACCCCUUUGCCUUCACACUGUCCUCAGAGCCUGCUCAGCUGCCCAGCCCCAGUGCCUGGUCCAGAGGUCAGUUCACAGCAAGCACUCAGCAUUCAUUCUGGAUCCGUGUCUCCCAAAAUGCAGUCCCGGAACAGCAAUGCUACCCAGCCAUCUGAGGCCAAUUCAUUUGUCAUGUAAGGCAGGCACCAAAAGAUGGCACAUCCUUACCUAGAAAUCAGUCAUUUAUGUGUCAGGGAGGAAGACAAGAGUGUUCACUCUGAUCCCUGACUCCAGUCAGUUACAGCAGGAAAUACUUUUUCAAAACUUGUAACUGUGGCUGAAAAGCCUUGACACAAGUGGGGGAGGACACAAAGCAACUCUUCAAAGUUGGGAGGCUUCACACAGUUCAAAGCCCAGUGUAGAUCUGGAGUGCCUUCACCAAGGACUAUUUGGUCUAUGAGUGGCUCUCUUGUAUUUUACUCAAACAAGCUCCAAAAAACUUCCUCAUUCAGGUAGUCACAAGCCACCACUUUUUAGAGAUGAGGAAACUGUUGCUCAGAAGGUUUAAGUGACUCAGAGAUAGUAAGUGGAGAAUUGGACACAUGCUUGCAUGCACAUACACAUGCACACGCACGCGCAUGUGCGCACACACACACAAACACACACUCCACCCAAUGUGAGGAUGGAUACAAUCAGACCUUCAAUCCCAGUCACUCACAUACCUGAAGACACCUGUCUUUCUGUCUCUGUAUCCAUCUGCCCUGCAAAUCUAUACCCUCCUGUCAGUAUUUGGUGGAUGGAAACCUCAGUUUCUCUCGUCAGCUCUCUUCUUUGACAAGAGAAUCGAGCCAUCCUGGCUCUGUCUUUCUGCAGCUUAAAAAAAUAAAAUAAAUAAAUAACCACACACACAGAUAUUGUGCACACACCCCCUAGUGGCCACAUGUGGAGGCACAUGCCCCACAAAGUUUGCGUUGGGGUUGAUAACCACUUGAGUUUGAGAAGGAAACCCCAGAUAGGAUUGCAACUCCAUCCUAGGAAGGAGGAUGGUGAAAGAUGAUCUUAUGUGGAAGACAGUGAAAAUGGAAAAAGACAAAGAAAAGGGGAGGAGAAAGAAAAAUGUGAUGGAGAAAAAGAAGGCAGGAGAACCAAAGGAAGAUUAAAGAAAGGUAUAUAGAAUAGGAGGAGUGAGAGAAAAAAAUAAGGCAAGCUUAAAGGAGGGACGUUUCUCAAUGUGAAGUCUUUCUCUAUUUCAAAUAUAAGCACAAAAAGUAAUGAUGGAAAAUAAUGCGAAUUGGUGUGUCCAGGGUCAGCUGGCCAUCCUGUACACAGGCAGGUGGGGACAGACGAGCCAAGGAUGAGAGGUGACAGGGCCCGUAUCUGACCCCGUCACUGCCUGACUUGGUAAUAUUUUCAGAAUCCAAAGCUUUCUCUGUCCCUAUUUCUGAGCUUGUAAAGGGUAGCUAAUAGCAGUUGUUUGUUGAGUUCUGAUGAGAACAAUAAAGAUUUGCAGAGAAAACCCUGAAAAGUGCUCUAAGCUCUUGGACAUAACCAUCACAGAAAUGUGUUUUGUUAUUUUGCUCAAUGCAGCAAAAACCCUCCAUCCUUUGCUUCCUGGUGUAAAAGGUUAUAUGUGAUGCUGGAGUGCCAAAGUACUUGGUGUAUUUCAACAGUGCAUCAAGUUAUCACCACCUCUGGUGCUUUGGAAGAUGCUGUGAUUUGGAAAGCACUGUCGAAAUGUAAAACAUUAUUGCCACAGUAGUAAAAAUAUCCGUGUCCAUCUCCUAGUCCACUAUUUCUUGUCAGGAUGCAUAGAGAUACACAUGAAACAAUUCUGUACACAUUAGUAGAAUGUUUUACAGCAAAACUGCACAUAUCUGAGUUUGGCAAAAUAAUCAGAAACAAAAUAUUUCUGUCAGUGUCAAGUUACCCUUAGUGUCCGAACAGCUACCAAGGGGGUGAUAAAGUGUUUAGUGCCCACUGCAAAUGUGAACACAUCCGGGUUUCAUAGAAAAAUGCCAGCUUGGGCUUGUGUUUUUCUUUAGUUAAGAAAGGAAGAAACAAACUUAACAAAAAUGGCUGUGGAAAAAGAAUGGACAUAAAGCUGAGAUUGUGGACUUAAGUUAGAUCACUGAAUUACAAGAGAAACAUUUUUUCUCAAAAUCAAAGUCGACUUUUGUUGGUGACUCAACUGCAAACUCACUGAACGUCUCUGUGAAUUUCAUUCUUUGGCGUUUCUCUAGCGUAGCACUAGCCUUCCCACUAAUAUCAGCCCUCAUCACCACCAUGUCUGGAUUUAUACCAAGAGGAGACACAAUGCCUCAAAAUCCAUUGCUUGUUGUUAAUGGAGAGAUUGCGGUUACUGGUUAUACCUGGGCAACCUCGAUCAACUUUAUCACACCUCUAAUGACAGCU